GAUAUAGAUGUUUUGGAGGUUUUUACCUUGAGUCCAAUUAUUUGCAGAGAUCUCGUCCUCUCCAAAAAAAUGGACUGGAUGGACUGUUAAGUAUGGUGGCCGGUGUGAAAAAGCAUCAACACAAAUGGUCUUAUCUAGAGGCAGUGUUUGGUUUGUCCAUUCUGGGCUACUGUGGAAACAUGCCGGUUCAACAUGGCUGAAUCUGUGGACAAGGACCCUCUCCUUAUGUAGAUCAACGGCUCAUUUUAAGGUCAUCCCAGGACACGCAGCAGCUGAGGGCGAGCCAGACGGAACCAGUGCGGCACGGAGCGGGGGGUGGGAGCACAACAAGGC